CACGUAGGGUGCGAGCGUUGUCCGGAAUUAUUGGGCGUAAAGGCGCGUAGGCGGGCCGUCAAGUCAGGGGUGAAAGCCCCCAGCUCAACUGGGGAAGUGCCUCUGAUACUGGCGGCCUCGAGGGAGGUAGGGGCGUGCGGAACUUCCGGUGGAGCGGUGAAAUGCGUAGAUAUCGGAAGGAACACCGGUGGCGAAAGCGGCGCGCUGGACCUCUUCUGACGCUGAGGCGCGAAAGCCAGGGGAGCGAACGGG
rnacentral:rRNA from 1 species